GCUGGUAUAGUUUAGUGGUAGAACAAAACUCUCGUAAAGUUUAGACAUCAGUUCAAUUCUGAUCUCCAGCACCA
rnacentral:tRNA from 1 species